GCCUGGGUGGCCGAGCGGUUCUAUAGGCGCUACGGUCUGGAACCGAGCGACCGCUACGGUCGCAGGUUCGAAUCCUGCCUCGGGCA